rnacentral:rRNA from 1 species
AAUUUUGGCCUUGGGUGGUUUGGUUUGGCCUUCAUUGGUCAAUGCCUUUUCCGCCUAGGUCUUACCUUCUGGGUUAGCUAGUGUCAUUUCGGUGGCGUUAGUGAACCAGAACUUUUACUUUGAAAAAAUUGGAGUGUUUAAAGCAGGCUUUCAAGCCUGAACAUAUUAGCAUGGAAUAAUGAAAUAGGACUUUGGCCUUAUUUCGUUGGUUUCUAAAGCCAAAGUAAUGAUGAAUAGGGAUAGUUGGGGACAUUAGUAUUCAAUUGUCAGAGGUGAAAUUCUUGGAUUUAUUGAAGACUAACUUCUGCGAAAGCAUUUGUCAAGGAUGUUUUCAUUAAUCAAGAACGAAAGUUAGGGGAUCGAAGACGAUCAGAUACCGUCGUAGUCUUAACCAUAAACUAUGCCGACUAAGGAUCGGAUGGUGUUAUAUUUUAUAUUGACCCAUUCGGCAUUUCAGCGAAAGCCAAGUUUUUGGGUUCCGGGGGGAGUAUGGUCGCAAGGCUGAAACUUAAAGG